UCCGAAGGGGGCUAGCGUUGUUCGGAAUUACUGGGCGUAAAGCGCGCGCAGGCGGCUAUCCAAGUCAGUGGUGAAAGCCCGGAGCUCAACUCCGGAACUGCCAUUGAAACUGUUUAGUUUGAGGAUGAGAGAGGUGAGUGGAAUUCCCAGUGUAGAGGUGAAAUUCGUAGAUAUUGGGAAGAACACCGGUGGCGAAGGCGGCUCACUGGCUCAUUACUGACGCUCAGGCGCGAUAGCGUGGGGAUCAAACAGG
rnacentral:rRNA from 1 species